rnacentral:rRNA from 1 species
CACCGAUUGCGAAGGCAGCUUACCUAACCAGCACUGACGCUGUAGCACGAAAGCCUGGGGAGCGUACAGGAUUAGAUACCCUGGUAGUCCACGCCGUAAACUUUGCUCACUCUCUGUUGGCGAUAGACAGUCUGCGGCCUAGGGAAACCGAUAAGUGAGCCACCUGGGGAGUACGGCCGCAAGGUUGAAACUCAAAGGUAUUGACGGGGGCCCGCACAAGCGGUGGUACAUGUGGUUUAAUUCGAUGAUACGCGAGGAACCUUACCUGGGCUUAAAUGUGAAGUGCAUUGAUUGGAAACAAUCAUUUCCUUCGGGACCCUUUACAAGGUGCUGCAUGGUUGUCGUCAGCUCGUGCCGUGAGGUGUCGGGUUAAGUCCCAUAACGAGCGCAACCCCUAUUGUUAGUUACCAGCGCGUAAUGGCGGGGACUCUAGCGAAACUGCCGGUGUAAACCGCGAGGAAGGUGGGGAUGACGUCAAAUCAGCACGGCCCUUAUGUCCAGGGCUACACACGUGUUACAAUGGCCGGUACAGCGGGCAGCUAGGCAGCGAUGUCAUGCUAAUCCCGAAAGCCGGUCCCAGUUCGGAUUGGAGUCUGCAACCCGACUCCAUGAAGGUGGAUCGCUAGUAAUCGCGCAUCAGCCAUGCGCGGGAUACGUUCCCGGCCUGUACACACCGCCCGUCAAGCCAUGG